rnacentral:lncRNA from 1 species
UCAGAUAAGUAUAAAAUGAGCAAAAAAGGCAUGAAACUGAAUUUAAAAUUAAGAUGUGACCAUUGUUGGUUCUAUGGUCAUACUAAGGACAAAUGCUUUCAUUUAAAUGGAUAUCCGGAUUCAAGCAAAGGGUUCAACAACAAAAAAGCCAAAACAGAACAUGCAAGCUCAGCAACCACUCAUCUAAUCACUGAAGAAGAAUACAAGAUCAUGCAAAACCUAUUCAUGAAAAAUGCAGGUAAUUUUUUAAAUAAAUUAGCAUGUAAUGUUUAUUCUUCAAAUAAUUGUGAAUGGAUUUGUGAUAGUGGUGCUUCACAGCACAUGAGUGGAAAUAAAACACUCUUUAGAAAUUUAAGAGACUCUAAAAAAAUUAAAAGAGUCUCAAUUCCUGAUGGAAAUUGUUUUUUAAUAAAACAAAUAGGAGAAAUAAUACUUUCUCCAACAAUAACCUUGAAAAAUGUAUACUAUAUCCCUGAUUUUAAAUUAAAUUUAAUUUCAUCAUAUAAAAUCAUAAAAGAUAUGGGUAUAUCAAUACUUUUAAAUGAAUCACAAUGUUUUUUUCAGGAUCCUCACAGCAAGGAUCUGAUUGGACUGGGUAAUAUAAACAAUGGAG